rnacentral:other from 1 species
GUUUUGGAAGCGUUCAAAACAACAUAGCUCUAAAAC